rnacentral:rRNA from 1 species
AGUGAACGCUGGCGGUAGGCCUAACACAUGCAAGUCGAACGGCAGCACAGUAAGAGCUUGCUCUUACGGGUGGCGAGUGGCGGACGGGUGAGGAAUACAUCGGAAUCUACUUUUUCGUGGGGGAUAACGUAGGGAAACUUACGCUAAUACCGCAUACGACCUACGGGUGAAAGCAGGGGAUCUUCGGACCUUGCGCGAUUGAAUGAGCCGAUGUCGGAUUAGCUAGUUGGCGGGGUAAAGGCCCACCAAGGCGACGAUCCGUAGCUGGUCUGAGAGGAUGAUCAGCCACACUGGAACUGAGACACGUUCCAGACUCCUACGGGGGGCAGCGGUGGGGAAUAUUGGACAAUGGGCGCAAGCCUGAUCCAGCCAUACCGCGUGAGUGAAGAAGGCCUUCGGGUUGUAAAGCCCUUUUGUUGGGAAAGAAAAGCAGCAGGUUAAUACCCCGCUGUUCUGACGGUACCCAAAGAAUAAGCACCGGCUAACUUCGUG